AUAGUCGAUGGCAAUUUGUUCUAUUGCAAUUUCAGAUUGCUCCUACUUUACUGAGCUCUACAAUUUUCCUCGCUCUCUCCAAUAACAUCUAAGAUAUGGUAACACGCCAUUUAUUCUCUUGAAGAUAGAAUUAACUAUUGAUGAAAGCUUUAGCUAGCUAGCUCUCCUUUUUAAUUGCUUCAAAUUUCCAAUACCGGAAGAACAACCCGCAGUGGCUUUAGUAUUUGUUAUUUUGAUUUAACAUACAGCAAAGUGAGACAUGUCGUCCCGCGAAGGUGGCAAGAAAAAACCUCUUAAGGCUCCCAAAAAGAAGGGAGGAGAUCUGGAUGAUGAAGAUUUAGCUUUCAAACAAAAA
rnacentral:lncRNA from 1 species